CAUGUCCGACGCUGACGGCUCCAACUAACGGAACGCUGAGUCCUCCCGUACCACACUCCUUCCCGACAGUGGUCACAUUCGCCUGUGACACGGGACACGUACGGAACGGUUCUGAAACUACGACGUGCCAAGCUGACGGAUCAUGGAGCAACUCUGUUCCAACAUGCACACCCAGACCAUGUCCGACGCUGACGGCGCCAACUAACGGAACGCUGAGUCCUCCCGUACCACACUCCUACCCGACAGUGGUCACAUUCACCUGUGACACGGGAUACGUACGGAACGGUUCUGAAACUACGACGUGCCAAGCUGACGGAUCAUGGAGCAACUCUGUUCCAACAUGCACACCCAGACCAUGUCCGACGCUGACGGCUCCAACUAACGGAACGCUGAGUCCUCCCGUACCACACUCCUACCCGACAGUGGUCACAUUCGCCUGUGACACGGGAUACGUACAAAACGGUUCUGAAACUACGACAUGCCAAGCUGACGGAUCAUGGAACA